CAUGUAGGCGGCCUUGUAAGCCUGGCGUGAAAGUCCACGGCUCAACCGUGGGAUUGCGUCGGGAACUGCGAGGCUCGAGUGACGGAGGGGGAGCUAGAAUUCCUGGUGUAGGGGUGAAAUCUGUAGAUAUCAGGAAGAAUACCAAUGGCGAAGGCAAGCUCCUGGCCGAUGACUGACGCUGAGGUGCGAAAGUGUGGGGAUCAAACA
rnacentral:rRNA from 1 species